ensembl:lncRNA
UAGUAGUAGUAGUAGUAGUAGUAGUAGUGUUGUGCAUACGCCUUUUGCACGUCCGUCUUGUGUUCACACCAGCUUCACGGUUUGUUUAUAAAUGCCACUGAUAUUCUCACAAGGGAGGUGUGGCUAACGUAGUAUUUAAACUCAUCCCUUUGUCAGUUUGGAUCUCACUUUCAGUGGGUAAUCAGAGUUCAAAAUGUUCGUGCUUUGGGCGCUACGAUUUGCUUGGGUGAUUUUUGCUUGUGGAGGAACCAGCGCAGCCUCCAGAAACAACUGUUAUCGAAAAGACUGUAAUGGAACAUGGUAUGACAUCCAAGAGGCUACUUGCUGUGAAAACAAACUUUACCCUGGUGCAAGUCUCUCUUGUUGUGGAAAUGAGCCUUACAAUCUGGAAACAGCCACUUGUUGUAAAGUACAGCAUGAGCACGACAUCAUAGCCAGUGUUGACCAGGGUCUGAAUGAAAAGGUAUCCAAGUGCUGUGACCUGAAGGCGUACAACCCAGUCAAUGAAAUGUGUUGUCAGUCAACCAUCACAGCAAAACCUGGACCAAUGGCUGAAUGUUGUGGUAAAGAGGUUUUUGAUAAGGAUAAGCAGUUGUGUUGUGGUCCAACUGAUAACAGGAUAAUUUUGGUGAGGAAUUCUAGCCACCACCGGUGCUGUGGCCACAACCAGUAUGACACCAAGACUCAGUGCUGCUGUACAAAUAAGGAAAACAUUCUGGAGAUACAACCUAAAGAUUCAGACUGCUGCAUGGAGGACUCUCCAGCAGUUCUUCCAUGUGGAAAUAUAACCUUCAACAAACAUACGCAACUAUGCUGUCAGUUAAAUGUUGUUCACAAAUCUCCACAGAAGUACAAAUGUUGUGAUAAAAGGGCAUAUGAUGUGGAAAAGGAGCUGUGUUGUGGCCCAAGUAAUAACAAAAUAAUUCUAAUGAGGAAUUCCGGUAAUCACCAGUGCUGUGGUCACAACCAUUAUGACACUGACACUCAGUGUUGCUUUUUGAAUAAGGAGGGUGUUCUUGAGAUUCAACCUAAGGAUCCAUCUGGCUGUGUGAGAGAAAAGGUAAGAAAUACACUCCAAUAAAUGUAGGGUUCUUAUUCUCUUUGUAUUCAUUCAUACAGUGAUCAGUAAAGAAACAUUUUGGUCCUUUAUUUGCCAAUAUGGGUGCAUUAAAACAUCCUUUUUAUUUCUUUUUUUUUUUGUCAGACAGUUGAGCGCCAGUCUAAGUGCACUGAACCAAAAACACAUCUCUGUGGGUCGUUAUGUUACAAUCCAAAGGAACGUCGCUGCUGUGAGAGAAAUCAAGAAUCUCACUGGUUCUGUGCCUCAGAACUGGCAGAAGUUCCUCCAAAUCCUCUAUUUAUGUCACGGUGCGGCAUGGCACACCGUGGGGAUGUGGGGAAGGAGGAGGACCCAGGCGCGGAGCUCAAAGUUCAAGCAGUGUGUUUAUUUACAGAGUGAAAACAACGUAACAAUAAAUCCCCGUGUUCUCCCA